ACACCGUGAAAAAAAAUACGGGCUUUAAAAUGCUGGAAUCACAACAGUACAUUUUGUUGGAGGCUAAAACUAAUAUUUUUAUUGUACAAGUUUUUCCCAUGGGCCAAUAUCAAGUGAACUUUAAUUACAAUAAUUUCUCUGUCCAAUAAAGU